AAUUUUUCAUAGCUCUUUUAGAAUUUUUCUUACAGGGUUUCUGACCUUGCUUGGAAAUCCCAA
ensembl:snRNA U7 U7 small nuclear RNA